rnacentral:rRNA from 1 species
GACGAACGCUGGCGGCGUGCUUAACACAUGCAAGUCGAACGGAAAGGCCCUGCUUUUGUGGGGUGCUCGAGUGGCGAACGGGUGAGUAACACGUGAGUAACCUGCCCUUGACUUUGGGAUAACUUCAGGAAACUGGGGCUAAUACCGGAUAGGAGCUCCUGCUGCAUGGUGGGGGUUGGAAAGUUUCGGCGGUUGGGGAUGGACUCGCGGCUUAUCAGCUUGUUGGUAGGGUAGUGGCUUACCAAGGCUUUGACGGGUAGCCGGCCUGAGAGGGUGACCGGCCACAUUGGGAUUGAGAUACGGCCCAGACUCCUACGGGAGGCAGCAGUGGGGAAUAUUGCACAAUGGGCGGAAGCCUGAUGCAGCAACGCCGCGUGCGGGAUGACGGCCUUCGGGUUGUAAACCGCUUUCGCCUGUGACGAAGCGUGAGUGACGGUAAUGGGUAAAGAAGCACCGGCUAACUACGUG